rnacentral:lncRNA from 1 species
CCAGCGGCAGCACCAGCCGGGGCUUGGCCACCGCAUCCCAUCAGCCCCCGGCAUUCGCCUCCUCGGGUCCUUCCUCCAGUCCUGGCACGACGCACGCUAGCUCAGGUGCGCUGACGGCAGAGGGGGCGACGCACGGCCCGGCUGAGACCUCACCCAGCUCAAAGGCGCCUGCUUCCGUGGUGCCCGGCCCCUCCACGACCUCAGACACGGCAGAGGCAAGCCUUUCCUCCGUGCUGGCUCGCAGUGCGGACCCGCAGGCAGCAGCCGUCACCUUGAGCUCCCUCCGCCAGGGAAAGGCCGCCACGGAGGUUGGGGCCACCUCGUUGUCCGCGGGGAGCCCGUUGCCUGCCACGGCUACCGCCUCCGCUCCUAGCGCUACCACGCCUCCUCCGGGCCGAGGUGGAAGUGCCACCACGAGCCAAGCGAGCGACGCCACGGCUGACCUGGGCGCCAAGACGUCCCUUCCCCUUCCCGCCACGUCACCGCUGACCGCAUCCGCGGUAGAGGCGGAGAGCGGCAGAGCGAGGACGGAGCCUGCGCCGGCCGCCUUAGGCGGGCGCUUUGCAGCUACGACGGCGAGCUCACUCGGAGCAUCUGCCGGGAGCGAGGCCCCGAGUGCCUCCUUCGCAAGCCGGAGGCCUGAGUCUACUGCGCCAGGCGUGGUGAGAGCGAGCGGGCGGGCUGGCUCCGUGUCCCUGGACCCCAGCUCUGCGGCAGGGAGCGUCUCUUCCACCUCUCUUCGCAGCUCCUCAAGGGCGCUUGCCAGCAGGCAGCCAAGCAGCACCAGCGGCAGCACCAGCCGGGGCUUGGCCACCGCAUCCCAUCAGCCCCCGGCAUUCGUGUCCUUUAGUUUAACAGCCACCUCUCGCCUCUCAGAAACGACUGCUUCCCUUUUGACUUCCAAACCAAAUCUGCCUACAAGAAUCUCCACUAUGAUAGUGAUUUCUCCAAUUACUGAUUUACAUAAUAACAUAACUAGCCUUAAAGGAAGCUCUGCAGUUUCCACGAAGAGUUCCAUUCGGUUCACAUCUGUAAAUGCAUCUUUACCAGAAACUUGCUCCCCUAUCACUUUCUCUAUACACCUGGAGAACGUGACCAGCACAAUGAUACAAUUCAACUGGAGACCUCUAGGCGGCGGAAGAGACAGUCCUUACACAGUGCGUCUGUGGGGAGGCUCUAGAGUGAGAGAGGAGAAAAGCAUAAAUGAAACAAGUACUGCAUUUCGAAAGCUGCUUCCUGAUCAUGAAUACCAAAUAUCCGUGGACGUUUUAACUUGCUCUAAGAAUGUCAGUACCUCGAUGACAGUUCGGACAGCUGCUAAAGUCUUCAAUGGAACCACUAGGAUUCUCAAUGAAGAUUUUAUACCUGAAUAUCAGAACAGAUCAAGUACAGCAUUUAAGGAGUUUGAAACUAAGUUCAUUAAGGAGAUUGAGGAACAGCUGCCAAAGGAGAUCUGAA